rnacentral:rRNA from 1 species
CGAACGCUGGCGGCGUGCUUACCACAUGCACGUCGAACGGAAAGGCCCCUUUGGGGGUAUUCGAGUGGCGAACGGGUGAGUAACACGUGAGUAACCUGCCCUUGACUUCGGGAUAACUUCAGGAAACUGGGGCUAAUACCGGAUAGGAAUCCUUGCUGCAUGGUGGGGGUUGGAAAGCUUCGGCGGUUUUGGAUGGACUCGCGGCUUAUCAGCUUGUUGGUGGGGUAGUGGCUUACCAAGGCUUUGACGGGUAGCCGGCCUGAGAGGGCGACCGGCCACAUUGGGACUGAGAUACGGCCCAGACUCCUACGGGAGGCAGCAGGGGGGAAUAUUGCACAAUGGGCGGAAGCCUGAUGCAGCAACGCCGCGUGCGGGAUGACGGCCUUCGGGUUGUAAACCGCUUUCAGCAGGGGCGAAGCUUGUGGUGACGGUACCUGCAGAAGAAGCACCGGCUAACUACGUG